AUCACUGCUAAGUGUGUCUUUUAGGUCGUUCUCCUUAGUAGUAUUCGCGAGUUCGAGCUUCUUUUUUCCCCUAUUCUUUUGGUGACAACUCAGACUUCUACUCAUGUGGUUCCUACCUUACAGAUUACCCGUCGUUCUACCUCUAGUUCCUUUGACCUUACGCAAGGUCUUAAAGAACGAGUCUCUACUUCUCUUCUGUUCUCUAGUAUUACUGCGCCUGUACAAGCGGUCACUUUCUCUCCGUGGUGUUGGUGGAUCCUCCUUUCUCUGGUGUUCUUCAUAACUACUAGGAUAAGAAAAUAGUCUCGCUCCAAGACGGCUACAGUUACUCGCCGUACGCUACAGAAAGUCAAGUCGGUUGCCCUCUUAAUCCCGGUCCGUCUACUACAGACCACUACUUGAAUACUACAGACGCCUUCCAGCCUCGAAACACCUACCACCGUACUUCCUCUAUCUUCGACCUCCACCUCCUAUGUCUUCUCCCCGUUUACUACUGAAGUACCAAAUACCUGUCCUGUUGAGUUACCUGUCCUCCUCGAGGAACCUGGGGGAACGGCUCCGCGUAAUGUUCUCUGGGUGAGGAGAUCUCCUUUUCUUCUUACACGUGUCAUACCCGCUACUCAGGAAGUACUAUGGACAAUGGAGGUUGAGUGUCCUAUUAGAACCUCGUCGGCCGGCAUGACGGUAACUGUAUCUACGGCUCGAACCGAGUUCACAAGUCUUUUGUAGUCUACGAUUCCGACCUCGACUUGAAAAGAUACUCGGUCUACUCAACUAAGGUCUCGCACCUAAACUUCUACAAAGUAAACCUAUACUGGGUAGUUACCUGAUACUGUCGGUGUACGUCUAAGUCGUACUGCAGUCGCAACUUCUACGUUUACGUCUCCUAAAUAGGCAAACACAACUCCCACUUCUUUUCUACGGCCCCUUUCUAUUCUUCGAAUCUCCAAGUGUCCUCCCGCACCUAUUUUCUUCCUUCCUACGGAGUCGUUCCUCUAACAGUCGCGGGUUUCCUGGUGAUUGACUACGUGUCUUUGCACGCGUUUUGGAUGCCCGCAUGUUUCGCUCGGAAGUUUUCCUUUUCUUCCUCGACCUUCGCCUCGUCUACUUUGCCGACCUUUCCGAAUUCGUUCUCUCCCUUUUCUCCUAACGACGUUCUUCGCCGCGUAGCUUAGGGGUCUUUUGGUGUCGAUUUCGUUCGCGUCACUCGUUCAGUUGGAGUAGGAACCGACUCUACUUUUUCCUCUUUUCACCGCCGUGUUGGCUUAGGAACUAACUCGCUAACUUUUUCGAACGAGUUGGAUUUUGGUUACGAAGUUGAAACUUGGGGUUCAGUCGCUGGCGCCUGGUGGGUGCCUCUUCUUCGAACGGCGUUAUUCCAGGAACACGAAACCCCUCAUAAAUAAACCAAAACAACUGACUAACUACUCCGGUUAUUAAGCUAAACAUAACUAAUUUUAAAAAACCAGACAACUAAAGAUCAUGUAUUAGAUGUGUAACAACAUAUAAUGCUGCCUCAACAAACAUUCGUCAAACAAACAUAUUAGACAGUAAACGCAACAUAAUGUUAGAUG
rnacentral:rRNA from 1 species